UGGGGAAUUUUCCGCAAUGGGCGAAAGCCUGACGGAGCAACGCCGCGUGAGGGAGGAAGGCCUUAGGGUUGUAAACCUCUUUUCUCUGGGAAGAAGAUCUGACGGUACUUGAGGAAUAAGCCACGGCUAAUUCCGUGCCAGCAGCCGCGGUAAUACGGGAGUGGCAAGCGUUAUCCGGAAUUAUUGGGCGUAAAGCGUCCGCAGGCGGCCUUGUAAGUCUGUCGUUAAAGCGUGGAGCUUAACUCCAUUUCAGCGGUGGAAACUACAAGGCUUGAGUGUGGUAGGGGCAGAGGGAAUUCCCGGUGUAGCGGUGAAAUGCGUAGAUAUCGGGAAGAACACCAGUGGCGAAGGCGCUCUGCUGGGCCAUAACUGACGCUCAUGGACGAAAGCCAGGGGAGCGAAAGGG
rnacentral:rRNA from 1 species